UGCGAGUGAAGCGGGAUAAGCUCAAAUUUAAAAUCUGGCGGUUAUGCCGUCCGAGUUGUAGUCUGGAGAAGUGCUUUCUGCGCUGGACCGUGUACAAGUCUCUUGGAACAGAGCGUCAUAGAGGGUGAGAAUCCCGUCUUUGACACGGACUACCAGUGCUAUGUGAUGCGCUCUCAAAGAGUCGAGUUGUUUGGGAAUGCAGCUCAAAAUGGGUGGUGAAUUCCAUCUAAAGCUAAAUAUUGGCGAGAGACCGAUAGCGAACAAGUACCGUGAGGGAAAGAUGAAAAGCACUUUGGAAAGAGAGUUAAACAGUACGUGAAAUUGCUGAAAGGGAAACGCUUGAAGUCAGUCGCGUCGUCCGGAACUCAGCCUUGCUUUUGCUUGGUGCACUUUCUGGUUGACGGGCCAGCAUCGAUUUUGACCGCCGGAUAAGGGCUGAGGUAAUGUGGCACCUUAUGGUGUGUUAUAGACCUCAGUCGCAUACGGCGGUUGGGAUCGAGGACCGCAGCGCGCCGUAAGGCAGGGGUUUACCCACUUUCGCGCUUAGGAUGCUGGCAUAAUGGCUUUAAACGACCCGUCUUGAAACACGGACCAAGGAGUCUAACAUGCCUGCGAGUGUUUGGGUGGAAAACCCGAGCGCGUAAUGAAAGUGAAAGUUGAGACCUCUGUCAUGGAGGGCAUCGACGCCCGGACCUGACGUUCUCUGAAGGAUCCGCGGUAGAGCAUGUAUGUUGGGACCCGAAGAUGGUGAACUAUGCCUGAAUAGGGUGAAGCCAGAGGAAACUCUGGUGGAGGCUCGUAGCGAUUCUGACGUGCAAAUCGAUCGUCAAAUUUGGGU
rnacentral:rRNA from 1 species